GCGCUCCACGUAGGCAACAAU
rnacentral:miRNA from 2 species